UAGAAAGUAUAAUUUGACUUAAGCUUCGUCUUCAUCAUUUAUUUCCAGAUUUACUUUUUUCUUCGGUUUGGAUUUUCUCCAUAUAAUUGAAGAAAACUUUGUAAUUGAUUUUUGUUUAAGCAAGAAAAUUUGAAAAGACUGUUUUUUUUGAGAAGUCGGAAACAAGAAGUUCAAGCGGUCCGGAGAAGAUUCAAAGUUCAGAACGUGAAGCUGAUUUGCUUUUGAAAUAAUAAUACUCAGUGGACAUGAGCUCGGCUGCAAGUAGAUAUGCCGAUGAAGAAUCUAGGAUAAAUAUAAAAGAUAAUCACUGGUUUGGCUGUUGCUAAAAAAAAUUGGUUCGGCUAACGGUAGUAAUUCUCGAACUCAAGAACAGAUGCUUCACUUCCGGUGUUUGCGGCUAACGGCUUCGGUGUGGACGGUGUCGUUGGUGGUGGUGCACGGCUCCGGUUCAGUUUCAUUGACUGAUAUUUAACACAGCACUCCGGUGGUGCAAGAAAAUCUCUUAUAUCAGUAAACAAUUCAAUUUAAUGGUUGAUUGGUUUUGUGCUUGUCUAUCUCGAUUAUAUCAUGAGAUUGCUUGUUUUGUGGCAGGUGUUAUGAGACUAGCUUAGAAGUUUCAUGGAAUUGGAAUCUUCUUAAAGUCAAAGAAGAAGGCAAGAAAUCUAAGUUCGGCUUAGGAACGGCUUAUUCUAAACUCGGUUCCCACAUAUUGGAAGACACUAAAAUCCCUUCCAAGAGCAAUGAGUUAGUAAUUGAGCUUCUUUUGUGGUGUGAGCCUGCAUUUUGACAGGUUUCAUCGAGGAUUUAAAGGUGUGAUCUUUUUUCUUUGUUUGACUCACCUUGUAUUUUUUCUUUCCUAUGCUUUGUUUGUUGUUACUCAACUUGUUUUCACAGUUACAGCAGAGAAAAUACAGUUACAAUAGAGAAAAUGUCAAAUUCAACUUGUUUUGGAUUUCUCAAAUUAUUUAUGCAUUAUAACUUUUGGCCGUUUCAGGCUAUCAUUCAGAGUAACUUUGGUUAAGAAUAUUGUGUAUCAACAGUUUUAUAUUUCUGUAUUA